CCGCGCGGCCAGAGCGCGCCGGGUGCCUGGUCCGGAGGGAAGGAGGGAAGAGGCAGGAAGGCAGGAAGGGAAGCGCUGCCCAAGUUGAGAAGAACGAUCCGAUUGAAACUUGGGCACCAGUUCAUUCUGCUCUCUGCUCCGGUUACCCCCGCGUCCUGCCCCCCAUCUCUAAACUUCAUUCUGGUAUUGAUGUGGCAGAGGGGAAGGAAGACAGACUCCUGGCUCAGCCAUUUAGAGCUUUGUCAUCUUGGGAAGAAAUGAAUUCCCGGGUUUGAUAAAUGAGGGAGAAGGGGAGAAGAGGAAGUAAAGGGAAUGUUUUGAGAAAAGUGAAGUGGCAAGAAUACGGGACUCACAUGAGGAUGACAGCACGAGGAGGCUAGGCUUUAGGGGUUACAGCCAAGCAGAGCGGACCUAGUGGAAGAAGACAAGACAAGGAUCCCAAACCCAAUUCACUGUGUCUUGGAUUCACCAGUGACACUGGAAACAGGAAGGAGAGGGGGUGGCACCUGGGAAGACCAGGUGAGCAUCUAGGAUUGAGGAGGCCAGACUGCCUGAUAUGCACUGAGGAACAGGAGUCUUAACUAAGUUGUGUCUGAGAGAAGAACUGAGAGCGAAACCAGGGGAGAUGGGAAGAGGUAGAGACCCUGGAUCUUGGUAGGAUGAACAGCAUUGUCUGAAACUGAGGGAGCUGAGCCAAAGGGAAGUGGAAGAGAGGUUGGGAUGGGGGAGGUGAACAGCUCCAGGGCUGGGUGCUUGUGUCCCAUGAAGCUUCCUGAGGAGUAGAGCAGGGGCGUGGCAAAGGGGGUAUAGCCCUUCCUGAAAGUGCUGUGUGUAUGGGGCUCCUGGGGCCUGUGCAGUCAGCUUUGGUCUCCACUUUCACUUUGCACCCUUCUCUGGCUGACUCUGGAAAGGAGGGAGAGGAGCACCUUGGUGUUAAUCAAGUACAGACGUCAAUAUACUUUGGGCAAAAUGGAUUUGAAAAUUAAAAGAAGAGGUGGAGAGUGGGUCUUUGGUUUGAUUAUUUAUGCCCUUCUUAUUCUAAAAAUAAAGUGACUUUCAGAAAUACAUACAAUAGUAUAAGAUAAAUAAUAAAUAAGUGAGAAUAUUAUUAAUAGAGAUAAAACUAUUAGGAAAAGUAACAAAUGUCCUGAGUCAGUAUAAGCAUUAGGUCACAAAUUUGAGUUUCAGAUUACUAAUGCAUAAAGGGAAGAGCAAAUGAAGCAGUGGUGUGCUCUUCAGUUUCCAUAAGAUUAAAAAAAAAAUCCAAAGUAGUCACUUAGCCAUUCAGAAGACAUUGUAAAAUACUGUGAGCAGUGUUCAUGACCAUAUCAUUUCAUAAAUGAAACAAAUUUAUUAGGUUUG